rnacentral:rRNA from 1 species
AGUGGACGCUGGCGGUAGGCCUAACACAUGCGAGUCGAACGGCAGCACAGUAAGAGCUUGCUCUUACGGGUGGCGAGUGGCGGACGGGUGAGGAAUACAUCGGAAUCUACUUUUUCGUGGGGGAUAACGUAGGGAAACUUACGCUAAUACCGCAUACGACCUACGGGUGAAAGCAGGGGAUCUUCGGACCUUGCGCGAUUGAAUGAGCCGAUGUCGGAUUAGCUAGUUGGCGGGGUAAAGGCCCACCAAGGCGACGAUCCGUAGCUGGUCUGAGAGGAUGAUCCGCCACACUGGAACUGAGACACGGUCCAGACUCCUACGGGAGGCAGCAGUGGGGAAUAUUGGACAAUGGGCGCAAGCCUGAUCCAGCCAUACCGCGUGGGUGAAGAAGGCCUUCGGGUUGUAAAGCCCUUUUGUUGGGAAAGAAAAGCAGCAGGUUAAUACCCCGCUGUUCUGACGGUACCCAAAGAAUAAGCACCGGCUAACUUCGUG